CAACUUCCCCCAAAUCCCCCUCCACUGACCGCGCCGGCCGCCCUAGAUCGACCCCGAGCACUACCGCCGGCAUCCCCCACAACCACAGCCCUGCCGCCGACGCCCCCCCCACCACCACAGCCCCGUCGCCACCCCUAGCUACCCCACCACCGCCGGCCGCCCUAGAUCCCGAGUUCUGCAGCCGGUGGCCCGCACCAACACAGCCCCGUCGCCCGUCACCGCCCCCAGCCCCCUGCCUGCAGCCCUCCACCUCGACAGUCCGACCACUGCCGCCUUUGCCCCCAACCACCCCACAUCAGCGCUGUCGAGCACGGAGCACCCCCACGGACGACCACUGUCGCCGAGCGACUCCACCGCAGAACUCCUCCCCAAGCAGGCCUCCUCCCUCCACCUGAGCAGGCGAGCACCGAGCGGGAUUGCCUCCUCGACGUCCUCUCCGAUCCCCCAAGCAGCGGAGCAUCCCUCUUCUCCCGUGACCAGCUCACUACCACAUCAACAUCCUCUGUCUGCCUCCUCUGCCCCAUCAAGAGUAUUUGGAAAAAGAAUGGAACAAGAAAGAUACUAAGACAAUGUUGAAGAACGAGAGGAAGAAUGGAACAAGAAAGAGACUAAGACAAUGUUCAAGAACGAGAGGAAGAGAGGCUAGCGAGAAUUAGAACAACAAACGGCGAGGAUUUUGAACGGUUUGGCCGCCUUACAUUUUCAAAUAUAAAUGAAGAAUUUGGAGCCCAGCUAGUCAGUGACAAACUAAAAGGAAGAAGAAGACAAUCAAAUAGUCAUCAAUUCUGUUCGCUUUACUUCGGUACAGGAAUAGCGUCACUUCUGCUGUACAAGAUAGCUGCAGAUUUCCCAAAGGUGCACAAGUUCACUAAGGUUUGGAAGAUUUUCAAGCUGAUGAAGAUUUGGAAGACCUACAAUGUCCUGCGUCUUGUUUGUUGAACCUAGACAUUUGCUCUGCUCAUUUUGGUGGUGGUUUGGCUGUGUGGCACACAUCUAGAAGCAUAUGUACAUCUUUUGUGGCACUACUUUAGUUUGGUUGUGGGGUAAACAUAUAUAUGUACUCCUUUCGUGGCACAACCUCUGUAUAUAUUGUCGUUAUGUUUAUCAAAUGAAGUUUAAGGUUUUCGAUGA